AAAAAAAAAAAAAGACGGCAGCAACAACAGCAGCAGUAACAAACACUAGCAGCAGCAGCAGCUGACACCAACAACAAUAACAACAACAACAGCAGCAGCAGCAACAACGAGGCACAAGCAACUUAUUACAGGCAUGAACAGCAGAGGCACAAAAGCAACUUAUUAGAAGUAUGGUGCAUGUGCAUUCCAAAUCAGGGAGGGAGCAGCAUAGAGAACAGCAGGAAGCCACACCCCACCAUCCACAUCACAUAUGCCAGCAGCAUCUUCGCCCUCGCGGCCGCCGCGACCGGCUCGCCCGCACUGCCGCCGUAAAUUACUCCGGCAGCUCCGACCGUCAUCAGCAGGUACCCUUGCCCGGCGAGGAUGCGCCGGAGCCGCUCCGCGCCGUCGCCGCGGGGUGCGAUCCUAGCCGUCCACGUACCACCCACCGGAGCAUCCAUGGGCUUCUUAUGUUCUCGUGAUGGUGUAAUAUUAAGGUGGUAACUUGGACGGGCUUUUUAUAUAUACUGCUCGAAGGGAUUUUAAGGGAUUGAGUGGAUACGUGGGGGUUCCACGAAAUUUCGUCGCCUAUACAUAACAAAGUCAAGGAAGUGUGUUCGAGCGGGCUUUUUCCACUACUAUGUUUUCAGGAAAACUUCAAUUAACCCCUUGUGAUUUGGUGUAUUUUCAAUUUACUAUCCAGUAGCUUCAAAUAUUUCACCUAGUUAGCUUUGUGCGUAGGAUAGUAAAAUAAUACGUUUUACAAACAACAAGGUGCAUGGCUAGGUGAAAAAUAUAGCGCAAUAAUAAAUGGUACAGUACUUUUGCAAUAUACGAUUCGUAAAAUGCGUAGCCUUAUUAUUUUAAAUUGACGGCAAAUCUCUAUGCCGAUAGAAGAAGAAAACCACGUGAUAAUAAUGUAAAACUGUUUAAACUAUAUGGUAUUGAAUGAAAAUGUCCUAAACCUUAGAGGGGCAAAUUGAAAAUUUUCCUUAUUCCUUUUUUAUAUCAUUAUUAUCUGCACAAACCAUGGCACAAUCGAACCUACCAUGAAAGGAGAGUUCCUUUUUGUAUGUUAAUUCACCUUUUCUCUCUCCCCUUUUCAAACAUAAGAAAUUAUUGCCUGCACCAGGUCUAUUAAUACAUCACAUGAACUGAACCAACUUUUCAAUGAUAAAUAUAGUAAAUUCAAAACUAAUCUUAUUGAUGCAGUUUACUUCAUAUAAAAAGUCUUAUAUAUAAAAACAAACUUAGUUUGAAUUGUAAUAAUGAGGAUUAGAAAUACAGUGUAUACCAUAUAGUUAUACACCCGGUACACGAAAUAAUCAACUUACGUGGAAGGAGAGUUCCUUUUUGUAUGUGUGGACAUGUCGCUCUCUUUUAUUCACCUGUUCUCUCUCUGCCCUUUUCAAAUAUAAGAAAUUAUUCCCUGCACCAGGUCUAUUAAUGCAUCACAUGAACUGAACCAACUUUUUAAUGCUAAAUAUAGUAAAUUCAAAACUAAUCGUAUAGGUGCAGUUUACUUCAUAUAAAAGGUCUAUAUAUAAAAAUUUACUUAGUUUGAAUUUUAAUAAUGAAGAUUAGAAAUACAGUGUAUACCAUAUGGUUAUACACCCGGUACACGAAAUAAUUACUUAUUUACUAUCCUACGG
rnacentral:lncRNA from 1 species